AGAGUUUGAUCAUGGCUCAGAACGAACGCUGGCGGCGUGCCUGAGACAUGCAAGUCGUGGGAGUUUAACGUAGCAAUACGGAUAGUCCGCCGGCGCACGGGUGAGUAACACGUGGGCAACCUGCCUUGUAGCCUGGGAUAACCAGUCGCCAGACGGACUAAUACCAGAUAAGACCACGGGAAGGUCACUUCCUGAGGUCCGAGAUGGCCUCUGCUCCUGCAAGCUAUUACUACGAGAUGGGCCAGCGUCCUAUCAGCUAGUUGGUGAGGUAACGGCUCACCAAGGCUAAGACGGGUAGCUGGUCUGAGAGGAUGGUCAGCCACACUGGGACUGAGACACGGCCAAGAGUCCUACGGGAUGCAGCCAACAGGAAUAUUGCGCAAUGGAGGCCACUCUGACGCAGCGACGCCGCGUGGGUGAUGAAGGCCUUCGGGUCGUCCGGCCAUGUCGGGAGGGAAGCCACGCCUUAUGGCUAAUAUCCGUGAGGCCUUUGACGGUACCUUCCGAGGAAGCACCGGCUAACUCCGUGCCAGCAGCCGCGGUAAGACGGAGGGUGCGAGCGUUGUUCGGAUUGACUGGGCGUCCGGGGCGUGUAGGCGGUUGGUCAAGUCUGAUGUGCCAGCCAGGAGCUUAGCUCCGGAAGUGCAUUGGCCACUAGCCAGCUAGAGCGCGAUAGAGGAGGGUAGAACUCCUGGUGUAGCGGUGCCAUGCGUAGAUAUCAGGAGGAAUACCGGCGGCGAAGGCGGCCAUCUGGCUCGUUGCUGACGCUGAAACGCGCCAGCGUGGGGAGCCAACAGGAUUAGAUACCAUGGUAGUCCGCGCUGUCCGCUAUGAGUACUAGAUGUUCGGGGUGUUGACCACCUGAGUGUCGCAGCUAACGCAUUAAGUACUCCGCCUGGGGACUACGGCCGCAAGGUUCCGACUCCGAGGAA
rnacentral:rRNA from 1 species